GAGUUUGAUCGUGGCUCAGAUUGAACGCUGGCGGCAUGCCUUACACAUGCAAGUCGAACGGUAACAGGUCUUCGGACGCUGACGAGUGGCGAACGGGUGAGUAAUACAUCGGAACGUGCCCAGUCGUGGGGGAUAACUACUCGAAAGAGUAGCUAAUACCGCAUACGAUCUGAGGAUGAAAGCGGGGGACCUUCGGCCUCGCGCGAUUGGAGCGGCCGAUGGCAGAUUAGGUAGUUGGUGGGAUAAAAGCUUACCAAGCCGACGAUCUGUAGCUGGUCGUGAGAGGACGACCAGCCACACUGGGACGUGAGACACGGCCCAGACUCCUACGGGAGGCAGCAGUGGGGAAUUUUGGACAAUGGGCGAAAGCCUGAUCCAGCAAUGCCGCGUGCAGGAUGAAGGCC
rnacentral:rRNA from 1 species